GAGGGCAGAAAGGCAGCAGCCAAAACCGCCU
rnacentral:SRP_RNA from 1 species